rnacentral:misc_RNA from 1 species
CCCCUUUGCAGUGGCCAAUAACAAUUGACGGUGUUAGUUUGAUUCCGUUCCAAACCCCAAGCCACACAUAAAGCACAAAGGACCAUGCACGACAUCAGGAAAUUUCCAUUCGGAUUAAAACUGCGUCCUAACGACUUGACACAUGGAAGGGCCCCGCUUUUCUUUUCUUUUUUUUUUUUCUCCUUCUAACAUUUUCAAAUGAUUUCAC